rnacentral:rRNA from 1 species
GCAAGCCUAAACGGAGCAAGACCGCGUGGGGGAGGAAAGCCUUUGGGUUGUAAACCCCUUUUCUCAGGGAAGAAGAAAGUGACGGUACCUGAGGAAUCAGCCUCGGCUAACUCCGUGCCAGCAGCCGCGGUAAUACGGAGGAGGCAAGCGUUAUCCGGAAUGAUUGGGCGUAAAGCGUUCGUAGGUGGCAAUUCAAGUCUGCUGUCAAAGACAGUAGCUCAACUACUGCAAGGCAGUGGAAACUGAAUAGCUAGAGUGCGGUAGGGGCAGAGGGAAUUCCCGGUGUAGCGGUGAAAUGCGUAGAGAUCGGGAAGAACACCGGUGGCGAAAGCGCUCUGCUGGGCCGCAACUGACACUGAGGGACGAAAGCUAGGGGAGCGAAUGGGAUUAGAUACCCCAGUAGUC